rnacentral:lncRNA from 1 species
GCAGGUACUGCAGGAUGAGCAGUAGGGAAAUGAGAGUGGGUGUGAGGAAACUAAUGCCAUACAAUCCUUGAAAUUUCCCAGUGCUUUAUGAAAUUCAAAGCAAUAUAAAUAUUAAAAUAGCAUUAGUCCCACUUAUAGGGAAUAAAUAGUGGUACAUUUCAAUAUAAUAUUUUCCCGUCAUGUCAUUUGCUGUGGAAUAUGUUGCUAAUUAAAGAUUACAAGAGAGAGCUCCCUUGAGGUAUGCAUGGGUUUGCUCUCUGUUUAAAAAAGAUUUGCUUUGAAUGUCCAUUGACCUUUCCACAUUUAAAUGUCUUCUGAAUUUUCCUGUGCUUGCUGGGGCCAUGACUAGGUGAUUUUCAGUCUCAUGUUCUGGUACAUAAGUAUUGUAGUUUUGAGCUUUGAUGGUCCUAUAAUCCUUUAAUUGUUUAUAGGGAGAACCAGUUGUCUCUUUCAAGCAACUGUGCCUUAUGCAAGAGAAACAGAACCACAACAGCUGAGUUGUUCACAAAGACAAGGUCACAAUUUCAAGGAUAUCAAGAAUAGGAUAGAGAGGGGCACUGCUGCAUGGCUUAAGUCCACCAUCUGCCUGAUGGAUCUGAGCACCAUGACAAACUGCUAUCCUUCCUGAUUAGGAUGUGCAAACAGAGAGCAGACAGAUUUUGCCAAGCUGGGAAAAAUGAGGUUGAUUUUCUGCUCCAGCCUCACCUAUGCUCAAGAUCCAAGAACAAAGGCACAGAACUUUUCAUUGAUACACCUCAACUCAACCUGGACAUUUUUAAGGAAGACAAAAGUGAAACAUCAGUCUGCACUGUCUUAAACCAAUGGGAAAAGGGUGUAUGA